GUACUGUGCGAACGUUAUUCGGAAUCACUGGGCUUAAAGGGUGCGUAGGCGGCCGUUCAAGUCGGGUGUGAAAUCUCUCGGCUCAACCGAGGAAUUGCGCUCGAAACUAGACGGCUUGAGUAAGAUAGGGGUGUGUGGAACUUCCAGUGGAGCGGUGAAAUGUGUUGAUAUUGGAAGGAACGCCGGUAGCGAAAGCGACACACUGGGUCUUAACUGACGCUGAGGCACGAAAGCCAGGGUAGCGAACGGGAUUAGAUACCCCGGUAGUCCUGGCUGUAAACGUUGAGCACUAGACGGGAGGGACUUCGGUUCAUCCGGUCGCAGCGAAAGCACUAAGUGCUCCGCCUGGGGAGUAUGGUCGCAAGGCUG
rnacentral:rRNA from 1 species